GACGAACGCUGGCGGCGCGCUUAACACAUGCAAGUCGAGCGAUGAAAUUUCGACAGAUCCCUUCGGGGUGAAGAUGAAAUGGAUUAGCGGCGGACGGGUGAGUAACACGUGAGUAACCUGCCUUUGACAUUGGGAUAGCCUCGGGAAACUGGGAUUAAUACCAAAUGACACUAACUGGUCACAUGAUCAAUUAGUCAAAGAAAUUCGGUCAAAGAUGGACUCGCGGCUGAUUAGCUAGUUGGUGAGGUAACGGCCCACCAAGGCGACGAUCAGUAGCCGGCCUGAGAGGGUGAUCGGCCACAUUGGAACUGAGACACGGUCCAAACUCCUACGGGAGGCAGCAGUGGGGAAUAUUGCACAAUGGGGGAAACCCUGAUGCAGCGACGCCGCGUGAGCGAAGAAGGCCUUCGGGUCGUAAAGCUCUUUUAUGAGGGAAGAUAAUGACGGUACCUCAAGAAAAAGCCCCGGCUAACUACGU
rnacentral:rRNA from 1 species